GGGGGCCUGAGAGGGUUAUCCCCCACACUGGUACUGAGACACGGACCAGACUCCUACGGGGAGGCAGCAGUGAGGAAUAUUGCGCAAUGGAGGCAACUCUGACGCAGCCAUGCCGCGUGCAGGAAGAAGGCGCUACGCGUUGUAAACUGCUUUUAACCGGGAAGAACCCCAGGACGUGUCCUGGGUUGACGGUACCGGAGGAAUAAGCACCGGCUAACUUCGUGCCAGCAGCCGCGGUAAUACGAAGGGUGCAAGCGUUAUCCGGAUUCAUUGGGUUUAAAGGGUGCGUAGGCGGGGUGGUAAGUCAGUGUGAAAUCCUGCGGCUCAACCGUAGAAUUGCCAUUGAUACUGCCACUCUUGAGUAGGCUCGACGUGGGCGGAAUGUGCCGUGUAGCGGUGAAAUGCUUAGAUAUGGCACAGAACACCGAUAGUGAAGACAGCUCACGAGGGCCGAAACUGACGCUGAGGCACGAAAGCGUGGGGAUCGAACAGGAUUAGAUACCUGGUAGUCCACGCU
rnacentral:rRNA from 1 species